rnacentral:rRNA from 1 species
CCUACGGGAGACUGCAGUGGGGAAUAUUGCACAAUGGGCGAAACCCUGAUGCAGCGACGUCGCGUGAGUGAAGAAGUACCUCGGUACGUAAAGCUCUAUCUGCAGGGAGGAAACUGACGGUACCUGACUAAGAAGCCCCGGCUAACUCCGUGCCAGCAGCCGUGGUAAUACGGAGGGGGCAGGCGUUAUCCGGAUUUCCUGGGUGUAAAGGGGGUGUAUAUGGCUGCACAAGUCUGGAGUGAAAGGCCGGGGCUUAACCCCGGAACUGCUUUGGAAACUGUGCGGCUGGAGUGCAGGAGGGGUAAGCGGAAUUCGUAGUGUAGCGGUGAAAUGCGUAGAUAUUAGGAGGAACACCGGUGGCGAAGGCGGCUUACUGGACUGUAACUGACGUUGAGGCUCGAAAGCGUGGGGAGCAAACAGGAUUAGAUACCCUUGUAGUC